AUUGAACGCUGGCGGCAUGCUUUACACAUGCAAGUCGAACGGCAGCGGGGGCUUCGGUCCGCCGGCGAGUGGCGAACGGGUGAGUAAUGCAUCGGAACGUGCCCAGUCGUGGGGGAUAACACAUCGAAAGAUGUGCUAAUACCGCAUACGUCCUGAGGGAGAAAGCGGGGGAUCUUCGGACCUCGCGCGAUUGGAGCGGCCGAUGUCGGAUUAGCUAGUUGGUGGGGUAAAGGCCCACCAAGGCGACGAUCCGUAGCGGGUCUGAGAGGAUGAUCCGCCACACUGGGACUGAGACACGGCCCAGACUCCUACGGGAGGCAGCAGUGGGGAAUUUUGGACAAUGGGGGCAACCCUGAUCCAGCCAUGCCGCGUGAGUGAAGAAGGCCUCGGUUGUAAAGCUCUUUCGGUACGGAAGAAUACGCCGCCUCCUAACACAGGCGGUGGAGUGACGGUACCGUAACGAAGAAGACACCGGCUAACUACGUGCCAGCAGCCGC
rnacentral:rRNA from 1 species